CAGGCAUUUGAGCAGUUUGGGCAGCAGCUGUUGGCUCAUGGGCACUAUGCCAGCCCAGAGAUCAAGGAGAAACUUGAUAUUCUUGACCAGGAGCGCACAGACCUGGAGAAGGCCUGGGUUCAGCGCAGAAUGAUGCUGGACCACUGCCUGGAGUUGCAGCUGUUCCAUCGAGACUGUGAGCAAGCAGAGAACUGGAUGGCUGCCCGGGAAGCCUUCCUAAACACAGAAGACAAAGGAGACUCGCUGGACAGUGUGGAGGCUCUGAUCAAAAAACAUGAAGACUUCGACAAAGCUAUCAAUGUCCAGGAGGAGAAGAUAGCUGCCCUGCAGGCCUUUGCCGACCAGCUCAUUGCUGUGGACCACUAUGCCAAGGGAGACAUUGCAAACCGACGCAAUGAGGUCCUGGACAGGUGGCGCCGCCUAAAAGCCCAGAUGAUUGAGAAAAGGUCAAAGCUCGGAGAAUCUCAAACACUUCAGCAGUUCAGCCGGGAUGUAGAUGAGAUUGAAGCCUGGAUCAGUGAGAAGUUACAAACAGCCAGCGAUGAGUCAUACAAGGACCCCACCAACAUCCAGCUUUCCAAGCUGCUGAGCAAGCACCAGAAGCACCAAGCCUUUGAGGCAGAACUGCACGCCAAUGCUGACCGAAUCCGUGGAGUUAUUGACAUGGGCAACUCCCUCAUUGAGCGUGGGGCCUGUGCUGGCAGUGAGGAUGCUGUCAAGGCCCGCCUGGCUGCCCUUGCAGACCAGUGGCAGUUCCUGGUGCAGAAGUCAGCUGAGAAGAGCCAGAAGCUGAAAGAGGCCAAUAAGCAGCAGAACUUCAACACCGGGAUCAAAGACUUUGACUUCUGGCUUUCUGAGGUGGAGGCUCUCCUGGCAUCUGAAGACUACGGCAAAGACCUGGCUUCCGUGAACAACCUGCUCAAAAAGCAUCAGCUGCUGGAGGCAGACAUAUCGGCCCACGAGGAUCGUCUGAAGGACCUGAACAGCCAGGCUGACAGCCUGAUGACUAGCAGUGCCUUCGACACCUCCCAAGUGAAAGAGAAGCGGGACACCAUCAAUGGACGCUUUCAGAAGAUCAAGAGCAUGGCAACCUCCCGAAGAGCAAAACUGAGCGAGUCCCAUCGCCUGCACCAGUUUUUCCGAGACAUGGAUGACGAGGAGUCCUGGAUCAAGGAGAAGAAGUUGUUAGUGAGCUCUGAGGACUAUGGCAGAGACCUCACUGGU
rnacentral:lncRNA from 1 species